rnacentral:rRNA from 1 species
AGCGAACGCUGGCGGCAGGCCUAACACAUGCAAGUCGAACGAACCUUUCGGGGUUAGUGGCGGACGGGUGAGUAACACGUGGGAACGUGCCUUUAGGUUCGGAAUAACUCAGGGAAACUUGUGCUAAUACCGAAUGUGCCCUUCGGGGGAAAGAUUUAUCGCCUUUAGAGCGGCCCGCGUCUGAUUAGCUAGUUGGUUGAGGUAAUGGCUCACCAAGGCGACGAUCAGUAGCUGGUCUGAGAGGAUGAUCAGCGACAUUGGGACUGAGACACGGCCCAAACUCCUACGGGAGGCAGCAGUGGGGAAUCUUGCGCAAUGGGCGAGAGCCUGAAGCAGCCAUGCCGCGUGAAUGAUGAAGGUCUUAGGAUUGUAAAAUUCUUUCACCGGGGACGAUAAUGACGGUACCCGGAGAAGAAGCCCCGGCUAACUUCGUG